rnacentral:misc_RNA from 1 species
AAGUCGUAACAAGGUUUCCGUAGGUGAACCUGCGGAAGGAUCAUUAACGAGUUUUGAAAGGGGUUGUCGCUGGCCUUUCACGAGGCAUGUGCACACCCUGCUCAUCCACUCUCAACCUCUGUGCACUUAUUGUAGGUCGGUGGAAGGCUCGCAAGAGCUGGAAGCCUGCUUAUGUUUUACUACAAACGCUUCAGUUAUAGAAUGUUUACUUGCGUAUAACGCAUUUAUAUACAACUUUCAGCAACGGAUCUCUUGGCUCUC